AUUGAACGCUGGCGGCAGGCCUAACACAUGCAAGUCGAGCGGAGCGGCGGACGGGUGAGUAAUGCCUAGGAAUCUGCAUGGUAGUGGGGGAUAACGCCCGGAAACGGGCGAUAAUACCGCAUACUAUCAGAUGAGCCUAGGUCGGAUUAGCUAGUUGGGGGGGUAAAGGCCUACCAAGGCGACGAUCCGUCACUGGGCUGAGAGGAUGAUCAGUCACACUGGAACUGAGACACGGUCCAGACUCCUACGGGAGGCAGCAGUGGGGAAUAUUGGACAAUGGGCGAAAGCCUGAUCCAGCCAUGCCGCGUGUGUGAAGAAGGUCUUCGGAUUGUAAAGCACUUUAAGUUGGGAGGCGUUACCAACAGAAUAAGCACCGGCUAACUUCGUGCCAGCAGCCGCGGUAAUUC
rnacentral:rRNA from 1 species